ensembl:lncRNA
UCCUGGUCUAGCCAGAGGCCGCCACAGGGAAGUAAAGAGGGCCUGGUUCCAGUGCCUCAGUUGCAAAAUGACCAGCGUUCAGUGGGAAGGGCCAAUGGUGCCUGCAGCCCCUCUGGGAAUCCCACCCAUGAGGGGUCAGCACCAGGGAGAACACUGGCCUGGAGUUGUGCAGACCCUUCUCCCCAACGAGCGAGACUGAGCCCAGGAUCAUCCCCCAUCCACCUGCAACCCCUGGCCCCCACCCACCUCUGCUGGACAUUCUUGAUGCGGCCACCGGAGACCCUGAGACAUGUCACCGCCCCGCCUUCCUUCAAGGACCCCCACCAUGGGAGGAUAGUCCCAGGCCUGGUGCCCUCCGUCCUCCCUUCCUCCUCUUCUGUUCCCUCCCACUUCUCAGUCCCCUCCCCCUCCUCCAUCCCUCUUCCUGCUCCAAGGAGGAGUGGGGCAGAGUGGGAGGCAGAGCAACAGCCUCCAAAGACCUCCUAGUCCUUGGAACCUGUGAAAUGUGACCUUACAUGGCAGAAGGGACUUGGCGGAUGGGUUAAGUGAAGGAUCCUGAGAUGGGGGUGUUGUCCUGGUUUCUCCAGAUGGGCCCAGUGUCAUCACAAGGGUCCUCAUAAGAGGGAGCAAGAGAAUCAAGAGGAGGAGAUGUGACCACCGAACCAAAGUUUGGAGCAAUGCACUUUGAAGAUAGAGGAAGGUGCCAUGAGCCAAGGAUGCAAGCAGCCUCUUGAAGCUGGAAAAGGCAAGAAAUGGAUUCUCCUUAUUGAUUUUAGACUUCUGACCUCCAGAACUAAAGAUAAUAAGUUUGUGGUGUUUUAAGCCACUGAGUCUGUGGCAGUUGGUUACAGCAGCCCCGGGAACUCCUCCGGGUGAUGGGAUUGUGGCCUCAGGGUCACAGGCGGUGCUGUAGUUUAUAUGCCUGGUGGUGUUGGAUGGAUUAGCUGUUCCUUCUGCCCUAGACCAAGUCUUAUCAAGCAUCAAGCCAGCAUGGCCUGUACGGUCAUUUGUAUCUCUCACUGACGCACCUGCUGCCCCAGGGCCUGAGGUCCAGACCCUGGCCCACCUUGCCCCUCCCUCAUUGUAUCCUUGGGCGAGUUCCUUCCAGUCCUAACCUGUUUCCACUCAGCUCAGGGGAUCCCAAGUUUGAACUUCCAUCAAGUGGGCCCUGGCAGGAAAGAUGUGCUGCGCUCCAUGAAGAGCCUGAGGGACUCAGGGAGCCACUGUUGAUAGUGGCAGGACAAGGGGCCCCGCAGAGAUGGUGAUGGAUGAGGGGGAGGCGGUGGACAGUGUGAGCAGAGCCUGGGUCGAGAGAAGUUGUGAAGUGUCCCAUGCACCCUCUACCUAGCCCCCACAGUGGCUGCAGUACAACACCCCAGCAGGGAAUGGACGUCAGUGCAACACACAGAUCUCGUUGAGUCCACUGUCUGCAAACACGUGUGUGCAUGUGCAGCACCAUGUGGUUUCAUCACAUGUGACUCCAUGUACCUGUGGCCACAACCAAGACACAAAAGUGUUGGGUCACCACAAGACUUUUUAUAGGCACCACCAUCCCUAAGCCCUGGAAACCACUCAUCUAUUCUCCCUUGCUGCAAUCACAUUGUCUGACAAGUGGUAUGUAACUGGAUUGUGCAGCACGUAUCUUUUUGAGAUUGGCUUUUUCACUCACCAUGCUUUGCUUGAGGUUCAUCCAAGUUGCUGUGUCAGAGAUUCAUUCCUUCUUAUUGCUGAAUAGUAUGCCCCAGACAUGGAGGGUCCACA